rnacentral:rRNA from 1 species
UACAGAGGGUGCUAGCGUUGUUCGGAAUCAUUGGGCGUAAAGGGCGUGUAGGCGGUUUGUUAAGUCAUGUGUGAAAUCCCUCGGCUCAACCGGGGAACGACGCAUGAAACUGGCAAGCUAGAGUACCAAAGAGGGGGGUGGAAUUCCCGGUGUAGCGGUGAAAUGCGUAGAGAUCGGGAGGAACACCAGUGGCGAAGGCGGCUACCUGGACCAGCACUGACACUGAGGCACGAAAGCGUGGGGAGCAAACAGG